GUGAACGUAACGUAUCAUACACGAUAUUACGAUAAUAUGUAUUUAUACAUUUACAUUUAUUUUACAGUCAGCAAUGCCGCGAGCAAGACGAUCGAAUCUUAAAUAAUGAAAAGAAAAUAAAAUAAAAAUAAAUAAAAUAAUGAAUGGUUGAGUGAGCGAGCAAUUUUAGCGGAAAAAAUUGUAAAAUCGGCACAAUUUUAACAAUCGGAAAAAUGAAAAAAAUGUAAAAUUCGGAAAAAUUUCGGAAAUUGAAAAAAUUGUAAAAUCGGCAAAAUUUUGGAAAUUAAAAAGAUUUUAAAAUCGGGAAAAUUUUGGAAAUUGAAAAAAUUGCAAAAUCGGAAAAUUUUGAAAAUUAAAAAAAAAUGUAAAAAUUGGCAAAAUUUUAAAAAUUGAAAAAAUUGUAAAAUCGGCAAAAUUUUAGAUAUUAAAAAAAUGUAAAAAUCGGCAAAAAUUGUGGAAAUUUUGAAAAAUCGGAAAAAAUUUUAAAAUUGAAAAAAAUUGUAAAAUCGCCAAGUUUUGGAAAUUAAAAAAAAUUACAAAUCGGCGAAAUCUUGGAAAUUGAAAAAAUGUAAAAAUUGACAAUAAUAAUGAAUAAAAUAAUAUCGAUGUAGUACACCAUUCAAAAUAUACCAUAAACGGCACAAUGUGCCAGAUUGUCGGCCAAAGCAACUCAGACCCUACAAUUAUUUCAACGUGAUUUACUUUUGAUUUGUAUAUGAGCCCAAGCUGAGGCAAAAAAUUGUGAAGAAUUUAAAAGGGAUUUGAAGGUGUGCGCAGAGCACGAAUGCAGAGAAAUUGAAGUGUGCUUCAGUGGGACAUGAGUUGAUGCAAUAGCAACUGUUGCAAAACUGCAAGGCUGAUGUGUGCUUCAAUAAACACUAACUAAAUCAAAUACGUCCUACAGCUUUCAAGCUACCACCUAGGCUGCUGCCGGCUUUUGCUAAAAAUCCAUCAAUACUGUACGACUUCUGAGAAGAAGAUACGUCAUACCGGCACGACUACGGACCACUGGUCUAUGCUCUGCCCCUAGUAGGUGCAGCCGGUCCUACCAAUCUACCUACCUUUGUAGGUGCGAACUUAAAAAUAAAUAAUACAAAGGGUCUUCUACAGUCCAAUAAAAUCUAACAAUAACUUUACAUACAUACAAUGAUGAUUCCUGAUUUGGUUGCGAUAUGAUACAAACGAAGAAGAAUAAAUAAUUACAUAUGCAAAACUGGGCUGACUGCUGUUGUCGGGUCAAUUUGAUAUUGAUAAUUUGGGUGUUUAUAUUUUUAUACCCUCUACCCAUAGGGUAGAACGGUAUUAUAACUUUGUUCGUGUGUAAGAAGGCAUCUCCGACCCUAUAAAGAAUAAUAUUCUUGAUCAGAGUCAACAGACGAUACG